rnacentral:lncRNA from 1 species
CGGCGGCCAGGGGUCGCGAGCCGGUGGAGGACCCGCGCGCGGAGGAGCCCGGGGAGUCAGCGCUUUUUCCCUCCCUCCCCCACUCCCCUCCCCGCUCCCUCCCCCCUUCCCCAAGAAUGUUCCGCUACGAGGUAAGCUCUUGCGACCGGAAGUGGCCCCCCCUUCCUCGCGCGCCCCUUUCCUCUCACCCUCCGCGCUCCGGUCCCGUGCUCCUGGGGGGAGGGGGCGAGCCGUGGGAGUCGCGCGAUCUAGCGCAGCGCCCCCGACCUGGGGUCGCGGAUUUAGUCCGAGGUCUGGGAACCAGCUUUGAGGUUUGGGGGGCGGGACUGUCCCAUCCGAUGCCGCUGGGGAGAGUUGGCUUCUGCUUUGGGGUGGGGAGGGCCCGUUAGUGCGGUAACCUGACCGCCCGUCGCCCCCACUCGGGGAGGGGCGGUGGAGGGAAGAGCAUUGCACCCACCGGGUGGCUGUUCUUAGGAAGAACCACCCGGGGAUGCCCGGAGACGACUUUCCCGCCUACCCAGAACCAGCCCCCUUCUCCCGGGUUACCCACGGGUACACGCUGUACACCCCGGCAGCCCUCGGUCAGGGCGCCUGGACUUGCCCUUUGGCUGGGGCCCCGGACUGUUUACUAGGAGAGCGCUCCGAGCGGGAGGGGGCGUGUCCAGCUGAAGUUCUUUCUGGACGAGUGGAGUGAGCUGUGGGUUUGGCUACGACGUCGGAGGGGAAUGCAGCAGCUCCAGAAUGUGGAGUCUAGACCGUAUCGCCCACUCGCUUAGUGACCUUGAGCCACUCCUAAUCGCUGGACACAAGGUUUCUGGAUUUAUAAAGUGGAAGGACUGAUCUAGGUGAUUCCUGAGAGUCAUUUCAAUUUUAAAAAGCAGCGAUUUGGUUAAGUCGAUCUUGAUGUUUUGGUUAAGUGGAUCUUGAUGAUUUGGAAGGGAGUGCGCUGGAAGUUGCCUCUGAUGUGGUGGCAGACUGCUUUGUGGAAGUUUGUGGGCCCUAAGAUGGGUAGAAAGGCCAGUAAGGACAGAUACUUGAUAAAAGUGUUAACUGACUUUGUAUAAACAUGGAGAGAAUGAUGAGAUACAAUGAGCAGAAGUUGCCAAAAGGAAACUUGGAGAUUAAGCUGAGUAAACCUGAAGAGAUGGGGAGGGGGGUGGCAGGUCCAAACAGAAUGUACCGAAAGUGUUAUGGUAAUAUCUAGGUUUUAUUUAGCAAUAUGCAGUCUUUGCCUUGUUUGAUCCUCACAACAAACUAUUUGAGGUAAGUGGUAUUUGUCUCUGCGGCGCCACUUAAGAAUCCAGGACCUAGGGCCUAGCACAGAACCUGAGACAAAAAUGUUCUCAAAUGAUGCUAAUGAGGGCUAGAGCACCUACCUACUACUUUGGGUUCCAUUCUCAGCACUUCAUUACACACACACACACACACACACACACACACGAUAGUUAAUGGAUUAAUCAGAAAAGUGAGUUGCCUGUGUUUAUCAUGGCUUUUCUAGAGUUCAUUUCUGUUUUUUUUCACUAGAGUUUAGGCCUAUAGAAAGCAAAGUGAAGAGGUGGAAAAUGAAAAGAAAGUUUUAAAAGAGAACACUGAAAUUGUUGAAAACCCAGCAUGAAAAUAAUGAUAAAGAUGUGAACUUAGUUAAAAAAGAUACAUAAAAGUACUCAUUUUGGCAAUUUGAAAAUUUUCAUCUCUGUUCCACCCGGUGAUGUAAAGGAUACUGUGGGCCUAAUUUCUUGUGUGCAUGAGAAAAUGCUAUCAUUAGAUUCUUGAUAAAGUAAAGAAAAAAGAUGCUUGGGGAAAAUUCAAGUAAGGAAUAAAGAAUAGAAACAGAAACAAGCUACUGAAAGCGUCCAAUGUCAGGGUAAUUGAGGAGUAUAAAAUGCCAUCUUUACAAAAGGUCAUAAUAAAACUAUUAUAUUCACUGAGAAGAUAAGGUGAACAUUUUUAGAACAUUAUAAAUGAGAAUUUGAAUUUCAUGAAAAACUUCUUUUCAUUUUUUUUUAGUCUUUGGAGGAUUGUCCUCUAGAUGAAGAUGAAGAUGCAUUUCAGGGCCUGGGAGAAGAAGAUGAGGAGAUUGAUCAGUUCAAUGAUGAUACAUUUGGGUCAGGUGCAGUUGGUAAGUGGCAUCUUUUGUGUAUGUAUGUGUUGAGAUUGAACCCAGGGCCUUGCACAUGCCAGGCAAGCACUCUACCAACUGAGCUAUAACUCCAGCCCAAGAGGCUUAUAGUUUCAUCUUCAUCUCUUGCUCAAAUACUUUGUCUUAGAAGGAGUAACCUUAUUCACUAAUUUGGCAAGUUAAUCUUGAUCUCGGUGAGAAUAGUAUGUCCUUUACUCAGAAUAGUUCAUCCUCCUAUUGUGCUCUUCUGGUUGGUCAUCUUUUAUUCUCUAAGCCCUAUGUCUUCCAGCUAUCUGGUUUUGAUUCUCGGUUGCCACCAUAAGGAAUUCAGAUGUUUAGAUCAAUAGACAUUUGAAAGAGAUUUUAAAUAAUUCUAAAUAAAAGGAAUUUUUAUUUGGAGAAGAUGUAACCUAAGGAAAACUCAUGGACUAAUAGAGAAUUCAGAUUCUAGUAUUCUGCAUGUUCUACAUUUAGCCCAACACCAGUACAUGGUUGUAUUUAAUAAAAUAAAAAGCUUUUAAUUCCAAGAAUUUUAGCAAUAGGAAAUCUUCAUAAGUUUGAAAAGUAUUGUAAACAAAUGAAAUUUUAUCCAUCUCCAGAUAUAGAUUAAAUAUUGUAAGAGCUGAAAAAAGUUAAAAGAGCUAAAGUAGACUUAAAGCUACAGAGUUGUAAAUGCUGGGAUAAAACAAUUAAGAAGCAAGGCUAUAUGAUUACAUUUGAGAACAAAAUUUACUUAGAACAAAUUUAGAGCAAGUUAACUAAGUAUUAGAAAUUUAUACUUUUUAAAGAAAUGAAUAGAUCAGAGUCAAUGUAGAUAUUGUUGUUUUGACUUAGUGUUGGAAAGCAGCAAUAGCAGUGUUUAUAUUGUGGUGUGUCAAUAUUUGUAAUUUCUUUAGAAUUGCAGCAACAAAUAUUCAAAAUUAAAUAAGGAAGAAGAGGAAAUGUAAAACAGUGGGUGAUACCAAUGUGUUAGUAUCAAAAACAAAGGUUUUAUAAAAGUUAUAGUGGAUAGUGUUUUGUGAUGACUUUAUAGCUUAGGUUUGUGAAAGCUUGCACAGAGUUGAAUGAACUGGCAAAAAUGAAAAAGUUUACUACUAGUCUUCCAUUUAUAAAAUUAAGUAGAAACUGUGACUUUGUCAUGAUCUAGAGCAGCAAGAAGAAUGUUAAAAGUAUAAACUAGACUCAUUACAGAAAGGAAAUAAAGAUCCUAUGGAUUGUAGUCAUAGUUUAGGAGAUGAGAUUGCCCAUCUCCACGGAGAUGGCAGGGAAAGCUAUGAAGAAUAGAAUUACAAAUGGAGGGAACUACACAUCCAUUGAUUUACAUAUUGCCAUACUAGUUGUAACUGAUGUGAUUCUGCAAUCUGUAUACGGGGUAAAAAUGGGAGUUCAUAACCCACUUGAAUCAAAGUGUGAAAUAUGAUAUAUCAAGAACUAUGUAAUGUUUUGAACAACCAACAAUAAAAAUUUUUAAAUAAAUAAAUAAAUAAAAAACAAAUGGAGGGAACUAAUGUGAAUUGCAAAUUGCAUAAUAACCUAGACAAUAAAAGUCAUAACAUUGUAUUCUUGGUUCUAAACUUUUUCUUUUAAAACAUGUACUGGGUAUUAAAUCAUUUUUCAGCACAUUCUUCAGUUGAUGAAAUUGGUCAAUUGAAAUUGAUUCAUUGCUACUAUAUUAAGAUGAAACAACAUAGUAAUGUGUCCUUCCUUAGUUUUGAACUUGGACAGAGAGAAAUGGGUCCUGCCUUCUCAUGGACUUCCAGAGUGCUAAGGGCAGUUCCUCCCCACCCCCCGGAGUUUCUGUUUUUCCUUCAAGACAAGAAUAUUGCCUUUAAAAGAAUAUUAGAAUGUGCAGAACUGUAUUUUAUAUGAUAGGAAAGAAGUAUAAGUCCACAGUGCUCUUGGGUGCACAGUGAAAGAACAGGUAGUAAAAUUAAAGGCAGUGAAAUAGCAUAUGGUUAGUUUGCUUUGUACCAUAGGGUAGAAGGGUAUUAAGAAGGACUUCUUGGUUGGCCAAGGUUAUAAUAGAGAAAAGAUGUCACAGGUGAGCGCUUUUCAUUGAGAGUGUAGUAUACUUGAAUUGUAAGGUGAAAAUCUUAAUUCUUCAAAACAUCUUUAUAUAAAUAUUUUAAAAAGAAAAUUGCUAAGUCUACCUGUGAUAUGUUUGGCACACUUCUUACAGAUUUAGCUGGUAGAGGAAGUUUAAGCCAGUAGAUGAAAUGUUAGAUCUUUGACAUAGGUUUUGAUUGAUAAUUUUUAAUUCAUGGAGCUGACAUCUUGAACAACACCUGUUUAUACCGUGGAUAUUUUAGGUCACUGGCUACAAAAGCUCUGAUAUCACCUUUCCAUAGGACACUAAUCAUUGGUCUACUCCCUUUAAAAAAGUUUGCAUCAUCUCGAAGCAAUAAAUGGUGUUAGAGUGAUCCCAAACUCAUUCUCUGAAAAUAAAAGUUUACACCUUACAUGGUUCUUAUUAUGUGCUUGGUAUCGUUUUAAUUGUUUUACAUGUUAUUAAUUCUCACAGUAACCUUCUGAGGUAGUUAUCAAUAUUAUCCUCAUUUUCACAAAUGAGGAAGCAGAGUUACUGAGAGAUUAAGUAAUAAAUACAGUCAGUAUAAAUUACCAGUUAUGUUAAAACAGUCUUUGGGGAAUCUUUGGAAAUCUCUUGCCUUUGCUUGGAUGGGCUUCUCAUUCUUUCUCCUUCCCUUUUCUUGAUAGCUGCUGUAAUCUUUGGGGACUGAGAUUGCCUUAAAAUUAAAUCACUUCUAUUUCCUUUUUAUUUUCUUUUCAUUCAGAAAUAUCCCAGACAGGCCUGGGAGGCAUUAAAGUAUAAGUGUUUGAAAAAGCAGCGUGGAGUUCAGUAGCCCACAUCACAGUACAGGGUCAUUAGUUGGAAGAAUACAGAUACUCCUUUUCCUUCAUUUCUCUGCUAUUCUUUUGCCUAUGCUUUAGCCUUUUAACCAAUGAUGCAAUAAGGUCAAGUGUUGGCACAUCUAAGUAACUAUAUUUUUAGGUCAUUUGAAGAAGUAACAGAGUGAAAUAUUCUUUCAAACUAAGGGCAUGAGUCCUCUCCUGAUUUUUUUCAUAAGAACAACCAAAAAUAAUGUUGGCAAUGUUUUAUGGCAUAGAUUCCUUUGCAUCCAUGUUUAAAAUGCCAACAGUCACCAGGCAUGGUGGUACACUCCUGUAAUCCCAGCAGCUCAGGAGGCUGAGACACAGGGAUCACUAGUUCAAAGCCAGCCUCAGCAACAGCAAGGAGCUAAGUAAUUCGGUGAGACCCUGUCUCUAAUAAAAUGCAAAAAUUGGGCUGGGGAUGUGGCAGAGUGGUUGAGCGCCCCUGAGUUCCAUCCCUGGUACCCCCUCUCCCCCCCCAAAAAAAUAGGGUUGGGGAUGUGGCUGAGUGGUUGAGUGCCCCUGAGUUCAAUCCCCAGUACCAAAAAAAAAGCAAUAGUCAGUUCACAAUAUGUCCAUUUUUACAGAACAUGACUAUUUAGACUAUUUUUAAAUGUUAUUUUUAAGUGCAAAUAAAUUAUUUGGUAGAAUCUGGUAAAGUUAGCAAAUAUGAAUAUGGGGAGUGGCUACCAAAGAUAAUUUAGAACUCUACUACAUUAAAACUAAUCCACUAACAAAUUAAUGGUUUAAAUUUGGGAAACUUAAAAAUAUAUAUUGUUUUAAUCCUGAAUUCAGGAUUAUAGACUCCCCACUCUUCUUGGCAUAGCUGUUACAUUUCAAAAAAAAAAAAAAUUAUCCUUUUUCAGCUUACUUUUUUUUUUUUUUUUUUUUAGCAAGGAUGACACCAAUAUUAAAGUCACAAUCAUUUAUUACACUAUUCCUUAAGAACGUUUCAGAUGACUGGUCAUUUAAAUUAGUACUAUAAUUUUCAUCUAAAAUGGAUUUUUCCCUUUUUUAAGCACAUCUAGGUAUGUUUAUUGAGACCAUUAUAAUGAAGUGGUUACUUCAAGUUCUUUUCUGUAAGAGGAAAUUUCAGAGGAAGAGUGCCACCUGACUAAGCACUUUGUAAGAGGAAGCUUUUGGAUGGGAAAGAAAAUUCCACAUAAGAAUGAAAACACAUAUCUUAGAGGCUUAGAUAGGGAUAUUUUGUGACUCUUGCCCACAGCCUUUAUUACAGAAAUGGCAAAGUGAUCCCUAUUUAAGAAACCCCUUACCAUAGCUCCUAUAUUGUAUAUCACAUUGACUAAAGAGCAGACAGUGGAUCCUGGGAUAACACAAUUGUAAAUUUGAAAUCCCACUUCCCUUGCUUUUUGGAUCAAUAGGGUUAUGUGAUAUAUUAUUAUAUUAUAAAAAUAGCAAAUUUUAAAUGCUUAGUCUGACCCUGCAGCGGAAUUAGCCUACUUAAAUAUUCAUUUGAGAUGCUGUGGUAUGUAUAAGGUUAUUUAUGGUAUUGAUUGUUAUAGUAAAAAGUUGCAAAUCAUCCAGAUGGUUUUUCAGUAGGGAAUAAAUUACAAUUCAGUUCAUCAAUAGAAUGCAAUCUUACAUAUAUGUUUAAAAGAAUGAGAUAAUAUUUUCAGCAGUUAUAUGUGUAUACACGUAUGCAUGCUUGAAAGUAUAUCCAAGAAGAAUCAAGUUAAACUACAGAUUGCAUUCUUAAAAUCUGAACAGAGCUGUGGAAUUAUGAAGAACUUUCACAUUCUAAGUCAUAUAUUGUGAUGUUUGAAUUUUUUUAAUCUGUAUUUUAUUUGUAAACAGAAAGAAGACAAUAUAGAUUUCUGUGUUAGCUACAAAGGGGAUUACCUGUUAUCCCUGAAUGUGGAAUUUUAUAGAACAUACAAGACAUAUAACUAAAGUAAGAAUAGAGUACAUAGCUUAUACAGAAGAGUACAUUUAUGUGCAUUAAAGUAGCACGUAUAGGUGAGAUGAAAAUUUAAAUAUUUUGGAAAGCUUAAUGAGGAGAAAGAGGUUUCUGCAUUUGAAUGCUAAAAGAAGCAGAAUUGUGAGUAGUGCUUUUAUGAUAGAAAUAGAAUAGAAUGAUUAGAUCCAAGAGAACUGGAGUGAGAGUUUUCAUUCUAGAGAAUUUGAUGAAGGGUUCACAAGAUUUUAGUCUGUGUGGUAAUGGGACUCAAAAGUCAAUGCUAUAUCAGCAUAAUAAAUAAGAAAACAAUGUUAGUGCUGCAGACCAAAUAGCAAUGUGCAGGAAUAGCAAAGACAUAAUUAAAAUAGAAGAGGAAUUGGCCUUAGUCAAAGUUUCAUCCCCUCUCCCUUGGCUAGUGGAUACUCCCUUACAGUAGCCACCUGACUUCCAGCAUUCCCCCCAACACUUCUCCUCUAAUCUGCUUUUAAUUCAGUAGCCUUAGUGAUUCUUUCAAAAGUUAACCCAUCAGCUCUGCCCCAUUUUGGAGUGGAGUCGAAGACCCUGAAUAACCUCCCUCCUCCAGACUCUGACUUUAUUUUGUUCUACUCUUCCCUCUUGCUCAUUCCUUUCCAUUUGACUGUUUACCCUCUUAUUGUCAUAUUCGUUGAGUCUCUGCUCAAAUGUCAUCUCAGUGCAGACUUCUUCUGAAUAUCUAUUUUUUUCGAUUUGCCUUUCUUCCAUAUUCCUGUAGCAUUUUGCAUCUUCUAAUACAGUAUCUAAUUUACUUCCUCAUUAUUUUUAUUGUCUAUUAUCUGUCUCUCCCCUGCUUUAAUGAAAAAGCUAUAUGAGAGAAGGUCCCUGCAUUCUGUCCGUCUACACAAAAAAUAAAUUUUUAAAAAAUCAGGUAAAGAAAAUAGCAGUUACAAUUUAAGAGACAGUUAUACUAGUACUACAGAUUUUACUUUCCUUUGAAGUUUUUGUGUGGAGUAUUGUAAAAUCUCAAAACCAACAGGUGGUCUUAUACUUACGUGUCGCUAGUUUGUUUUUUUAAUUAUAGUAUUAGGGAUUGAAUGUAAUGGUACUUUACCACUGUGCUACAUCCCCAUCCCUUUUUAUUUUUAUUUUGAGGCGAGUCUCACUCAGUUGAUGAGGCUGGCUUCGCACUUAAAAUCCUCCUGUCCCAGCCUUGCUCCUGUAGCUGGGAAUACAGGCAUAUGCAACUAUAUCUGACUUUGUAUCACCAUUUUAGAAAUCAAUUUCAGACUGUAAUUUGGACACCACUAAUAAUGUUUUAAGUCAUUAAGCCAAAUUUUGUUCUUGGCAUUGUAUUUUUUGUUCUUAAUAAUGAAAAGCCCACUUUAUGUGUUCCUUGUUUCAACCUUAUUUCAUGUCUUUAAAUAAAUGGAAGCUUUAUUUGCUGUCUAUCUUCUGGAGCUGGGUUAUCAUUUGGUUAAAGGAAGAAUUUUAUAUAUAAAACCUUUGUUUUGAUAUGAACUGUAUUUCUUAUACCACGCUAUUGUCUUAUAGAUGAUGAUUGGCAGGAAGCACAUGAACGCCUGGCUGAGUUGGAAGAGAAGCUACCAGUGGCAGUUAAUGAACAAACAGGCAAUGGAGAAAGGGAUGAGAUGGACUUGUUGGGUGACCAUGAGGAGAAUUUGGCAGAAAGACUCACUAAGAUGGUGAUUGAAAAUGAACUAGAAGAUCCAGCUAUUAUGCAGGCAGUGCAGACCAGGCCAAUUUUGCAAGUGAGUAAUUUACUCUUAUUUGAGAACUAUAGUCGACUAUUAAAAUAUUGAGCUUUGCCAUUAUCACUUAUGUCAUAGAAAAUUCAUAAUAUGAUUACUGAUGAUAGUAAUUCUGGAAAUAAAAUUGGGGAAUAAUGUGUGUUCUGGAGCACUAUAAUUUCUUGUCAACUACUUGCCAGUAAAAACCUUGGACCCUUGUUCCCUAAUAGCAGAUGAGUCACCCAGAGACCUCACAGUAUUGCAGAAUUUGUAUAUAUGUGUUUUGUUUGUUUGUUUGUUUGGUAGCCUCAACCAGGAAGUCUGAAUUCCAGCAUCUGGGAUGGAUCCGAAGUUCUGAGGCGAAUCCGAGGACCACUUCUUGCUCAGGUAUUAAAAAGUUUCUCAUUAUAUAAAAUUACUAGUAUUAUAAAAUGUUAAGUUGACUCCUGUUGUCAUUUUUCUUUACUGUGAACAUGUCGAUAUUUAUCAUUUGCCAGUAUUAUGUCAACUACUGCAUCCAGUACUUAGACGGCUCUCUCUGUUGAUGUGCCCUUUAUCAGCCCCCAGGGUAAAAAUUGAGAGGGAGCCAUUGGAACUCAUGUUGUCAGUAUAUGAUUUAAAUUAUUUUAAAAGUCUAGGCAGGGACAGAGAAGAGAUCAGGGUUUGCCAGUGGUUAGAUGUGGCACAAGGCAUUAACAGUAAAAGAACAAAAGAAGGGGAUUUUGCAGAGUGAUAAAAUUGUUCUCUGGAGGCAACAUCUCUUCUAUGUAUUUAUCAAAACUCAAAAAAAUUGUAUACCAAAGACUGAAUUUUUCUACAUGUGAAUUAAAAAAAAAAAAGCUGGUGCAGUGAUGCAUUCAUGUAAUCUCAGUGAUAUAGGAGGCUGAGGCAGGAGGAUCUUGAGUUCAAAGCCAACCUCAGCAACUUAUGAGGCCCUAAGCAACUUAGUGAGACCCUGACUCAAAAAAAUAAAAAGGGCUAGGGAUGUGGUUCAGUGGUUAAGCACCCCUGGGUUCAAUCCCUGGUACCAAAAGUAAAUAAAUAGAUAAAUAAAUUAUAAAAUUUUUUUAAAAAGUAUUUUUGACAUCUGUAGAGAUUAUUAAAACAUUUCAAGUUAGCUAAUUUCUGUUUGUUUUGGGGUUUUUUUUUUAACUACUUCCUCAUUAGGAAAUGCCUACAGUGUCUGUACUAGAGUAUGCCUUGCCUCAGAGGCCCCCACAGGGCCCAGAAGAUGAUCGGGAUCUUUCGGAGCGAGCAUUACCAAGGCGUUCAACUUCACCUAUCAUUGGGAGUCCUCCAGUUAGAGCUGUGCCCAUAGGCACCCCACCUAAGCAGAUGGCUGUACCCAGCUUCAACCAACAGGUACCUCUCAUUAACAGGCACUCAGCCCAGGAUAUUGGGCAUCUGGGCAAAAUUAUUUGGGAAAUGGGUGAUACUGGGAGGAGGGUGGAGAUUUUGGGUAGGCUUUAGAUUAGAAAGCAAAAUAGCCAAUUAUAGCCAAUUAGCAGAGAAGUUAGUACAAAUAAGAGACACAUUCCCGAAUAGCCUUUGCUGCUGUUGUUGCUGCUGCCUUUUAAUUGGGGGAGGAAAAGGGUAGUUAAGCACAUUUAGGGCUUAUGUACUUUUUAAAGUGUUUUACUGGCUGCCCAACACUUUGGCAGAGAGAUAACUGAAAGCUGGGGGGGAUGGGAACACUCAGCAUUGUCCACAUCCCUUUUUACCUUUAAGAUAUCCCUGCUUUCCCUAGAGCCUGUGCAGUCCUGUUCCAUAGACUUUCCUCCACCUGAAACCAGCAGCUGAAAAGGAAGGCCAAUUUGGAAGGUAUGGGGGGAGGGUGGUGUUGGUAUGGCCUAGUUAGGCUCAAUUAUCUAUGAAAUAAAUGGUGGAGUCACAAUGUAUCAUGAAAUUGCUGAGCAUGGCGGCCAUAUCACAGAGGCUUCAGAAUAGGACUUAGUUAAUCCUCCAGCUUUCUUAUCAUUCCUUCUCGCUCACUGCUACCAAAAUACAUCCUCUUGGAGAGAAUUUGCAAGUCAGAAUAUCUGCUGAUAUCUCCCUCAGAUAGCAUGGAAGGGUGGGGAUAACUGGAGAAUUAGCUAAAUCUUCCUCAGACUUUUCUUGAUUUGUGAGAGGAAGUUAUCAAAGGUUCUGGGUUUGAAUCCAUAGUUAUAGCAGUCUGCUUAGAAGUAGGGCUUUGCAUUGAGUUCUGUGUCUCUACCAGUACUUGAGGGGAGGGAGUGUAGGUGGAAGAAAAACUGAUUUCAUUGAGUGUAGUUGUAUAUAUGUUUGUCCUAAUAGAUUCUGUGUCCGAAGCCUGUCCAUGUUCGGCCCCCAAUGCCACCACGUUAUCCUGCUCCCUAUGGUGAGAGGAUGUCUCCAAACCAGCUCUGCAGUGUCCCGGUAUGUCUCUUUACAGUCUAACAAAAAAGUGAAGUAUGUACUUUGUGGUCACUGCCUGUGUGAUUCAGUAUGUAGAAGUGCUAACAUCUCCUAUGGAACACUUAAAUUUUAUAAUCUCCAUCCUUGAAUUUCUGGGUCUUAUGGUCCCCUGGUCAGAAGACAUAGUUUAUGUGUUUCUUAGCACUACUCUUUAAAAAUCUAAGCUCUUUCUCGUCAUCUGGUUUCAUGUUAACUUCAACUCUCAUUCUAAUUUCUUUUUUGUUUUAUGUGGCCAUAAUGUUUCAUAAUUUCUAGCAUUAUUCUUUUUAUUUCUUCAGUAGUGUGUGCUACAAUUUGAGAAUUUUACAAUCUAAGUUUAUACUGCAUUUCUACUGAGUUCCCUUAUUACAUUGAUUUACCUGUUUCAUGAUAUAAUUGUUUCCUUACUUUAUUUUUUUCCUUAGAACUCUUCCCUCCUGGGUCACCCUUUUCCUCCUACUGUUCCUCCGGUUCUCAGUCCCCUCCAGAGAGCACAGCUUCUUGGAGGAGCACAGGUAAGCCUGUGAUUAGCUCUAUCCAUAAAGAACCCGCUUACUGUCUUAAGGUUCAUUAGGACAUAGAUGUUUUUGUUAGUAAACACCACUGUCUCUUAUUUUUGCCUUUAGUUUUUAAAACAAAGUUAUUGAUGGAAACAGUAUUCAAUUUUCAGCAAGCAGGUGAGCUUGCUGCUGAUUUAAGGUUAACUCAAUCUUAAGAUCUUGUUCCUCUUUUUAGCUACAGCCUGGUCGGAUGUCUCCCAGCCAGUUUGCACGGGUCCCUGGAUUUGUUGGUAGUCCUCUUGCUGCCAUGAAUCCCAAGUUGCUGCAAGGGCGAGUUGGGCAGAUGCUUCCCCCAGCACCAGGCUUCCGUGCCUUCUUUGGUGCUCCACCCUCUGCAACACCACCUCCACAGCAGCACCCUCCCGGCCCAGGACCUCAUCUGCAAAACCUAAGGUAUAUAAAACAUGCCAAUGUUUACCCAUUGCCAGCUAAGUCUCUUGAUAAUUCCAAUUUAGUUUUUUAAUAUAAAAGUCUCUUAAUAUUUUUUAAGUGAGGACUGGGGCUGUAGCUCAGUGGUAGAGCUCCUGCCUUGCACUUGUGAGGCACUGGGUUCAAUCCUCAGCACCACAUAAAAAUAAAUAAAUAAAGAUAUUCAUCACUAGGUCCCACCAAAAAUACACACACACACACAUACAUACACACACACAUACAUAUAUGAAUGUAUCUUGUAAGUGAAAUAUUUUGAGAUCCUCAAGUCGGGGUUUGACAGUUUAGGCUUUCUUAUGUCAUCAUCAAGAAUCAUGCAUCCUGUGCACAUUUAUACGUUACAAGUUACUCACCUUUUAUUUCUUCUAAAGUUUUUUACUUCUCAUUUCAUGUCCACUUUACAAACACACACUAAGAUAUGCACACAUGGUAUUGAUCACUUAAGAAUCAUAAGUAAGGAUGAGAGAUGUGAAUAAUGAGAAGUUUAAAAAAAUAAUAAUGAUAAGUUGGCAAGUCUUGGUAUCUGCUACAUUUUUUACUUCUACCUUCUGAUUUUAUAACAAGAGGAGCUCAAGUUCCUGCUUUGAUAAAAUUGUUUUUUAUUACAUACAUUGUAUUAUCAGGGUUCUCAAGAAAAAUAGAACCAGUAGGAAAAAAAUAGAGAAAGGGUUAAUUUUAUUUUAAGGAAUUAGCAAAUGUGAUUGUGGAAGCUGGCAAGUUAAAAAUUUAUAGGGCAGGCCAGAAAUCACUAAGAAUUGAAGUUGCAUUCUUGAGUUUGAAAUGUUAUAUGUUGGCAGGCUGGAGAUUCAGGCAAGACUUCUGUGUUCCAGUCUUGAUGCAGAAUUUCUUUGGAGACUUCUGUUUUUGUUUUUAAGGCAAAUAAACCUCUUGAGAGAACACUGUUAAACAGGAGCAAAAAGAAAAUCACAUGCUUUUUCUAAAAAAUUUCCUGAGAUUUCAUGAUCAUCCUCUUAGUUGAGAACUGGUCUUUGUGGAAGAUAGGUUUUUAAAAAGUGACUUUUUUACUUAGAGUCUCUUUAGAAUACACUUGGCAGUCCCUACUGAACCUAUGUGAAGUUAUCCUGUUCUGAUAGCAUUUGUGAAAACUUCAGAUCAUCAGGAUGACAGAAUGAAAGGCCUUUUUUUUUUUUUUUUUUUUUUUUUUUUUUUUUUUUUUUUUUUUUUUUUUUUUUUUUUUUUUUUUUUUUCAUUUUUUUCUUAGAUCUCAGGCCCCAAUGUUUAGACCAGACACAACUCACCUUCAUCCACAGCACCGGCGGCUCUUGCAUCAGAGACAGCAGCAGAACAGGAAGUAAGUACUCAGUGUAUUCCUUGGUGGUUUACUGGACAGUGUAACAAAAUGUUAUUAAUUUAGUUUACUUUCUUAGUUUACUUAGUAUGAAGCUGAUUUUGCUGGUAAAGUUAUGUCACAAAUGCUGUCAUUUUUAUGUUUUUGACACACUAGCUUUACUAAGAUUUUAUCAACAAAUUACCAAACUGUUCUAACUCUGUUGAUCAUAAGUUGAGCUCUGAAUUCUUUUAAAGGUUAUAAGAACCUUACCAAGUUCUUAGCAUUCUCUUUAACUACAUUUUCUUUGACUUUCAGUUCAGAAUUAAAUCUUAAAAAUGUAGUGACCAUGUAAUGCAUUCCACUGCUGUCGUGUAUGUAAAAAAAUUUUAAAAAUCAAAUCAAUAAAAAAUUUUUAAAAGAGGAAAAAAAUGUAGUGACCAGCCUCACAUUUGGGUCUUAAUGUGAACCCAGUGGUCAUUCUUUAUUUCUAUAAAAAUUAUUUAAUUUUUAUUCAACAAAUAUAAAUGUAUACAUUUACAUAUAUCUCCCAUCUGUGUAUUGUGGACUGUGGUAGGUUUUGAAGAUUUUAAAAAAAGCACACAAGACAGAUAAAGCCUUUGCCUUUGUAGUUUCAUAUAAAGUAAUUCCAUAAUUAGGCAUCUAAAUAAAAUGAAGAGAAUAAACCAGGCAUGGUGGUACAUGCCUAGCUACUCAGGAGACUAAGACAGAAGGAUCAUAGUUUCAAGCACAACCUGCCUCAAAUAUAAAAAAGGACUUGGAGUGUAACUCAGUUGUAGAGUACUUGAAUAACAUGAGCAAAGCAAGAAAGAAAAGAAAAAAAUAAACUCUGAAGUUUCUUCAACCAUCAAUUUUAUUGUUUUUUGAGUGUGUGAUUCCUUCUCAGUUUCAGAAAUGUUCCAGAAUAUUUUUGCAGGUUCAGAAGAAAGAAACCAGUGUGGAUUAUUAAAUAAUACUCCAAAGUACAAAUUAUAUAGGGAAAGAUUAAUACAUUUGACUAUUAAAAAUAUCAGACCUUAAUAUAACAAAAGCCAUGCAGAAACAUACAACUCCAAAUAGAAGAAACACAAGUGGCUUAUAGAAAUGAAAACAUGGUCAAACUCACUCAAAAAAAAAUGCAAGAUUAAAAUUAGAUAACCACUUAACAUGAUCAGACAGGCAAAAUUUAUGAAGUGUCACUUUUGGCAAAGUUGUAAGUUUGUUGUCUUAAGUGGAGAAAAGAAAACUACCUGCUUCAUAGGGUUCUUUAGGGUUUAUACAGAAGUCCAUAAGUAAAAGUAUUUAGUAUGUGGUAAGAUACUCAGAUCUUUGUUACUCAUAUAGUUUUAUUUCCUUGAGUAUGUACUACAUAGCUCUUUCCUUUGAAGACUUGAUUUUUAAUUGGCCUGUUUGAUUCCUGUAAUGUUAUAACCUUUAAUUAAUUAAUAAUUAAUAUGCCUACUUAGAGUGAAUGUGGCAUAUGUUUUUCAGUCAGCAUCGGAAUAUCAAUGGGGCUGGAGAUAGAGGAAGUCACAGGAGCAGUCAUCAAGAUCAUCUUCGAAAAGAUCCAUAUGCCAAUCUCAUGUUGCAGCGGGAAAAAGAUUGGGUCUCUAAAAUCCAAAUGAUGCAGCUGCAAAGCACUGAUCCCUACCUGGAUGAUUUUUAUUACCAGGUAAAUACUUGGUGCUAGUUUUGAAAAUAACAUUUUGGCCCCUUAGGCUAGAAAAGGUAUUUGACUUAAAUUAAAAGUCGUAGCCUUUGGGCUGGGGGUGUAGCUCAGUGGUGGAACAUGUUCGAGGUAGAAUUUUCUUUUGAGGUAGUCCUCAAGCAGUUGAUAAUUUACUAAACAAAUUCUGUCCUCGCUUCAAGCAAGAGACUCUUGAGCUGUUUGCUCUGAGACCAGUGUUUUCAAUUUCUUUGGCUUCAGUAAUCUGGUUCUAUCAGUUAAGUAUAUUGGCAGUCUAAAGACAUUUCCUUCGAUUAAAGUUUUUGAAGGCUAAGGAUUUUUUCUUGGUAGAGGUGAGGGGGCAGUUUGGGAUUGAACCCUGGGCCUCAAGCAUGCUAAGAAUAUAUUCCACCACUGAGCUACACCCCGAGCCCAAAUGCUAUGAAUUUUAAUAUAGUAAAUGUUAGCUUGAAUCUAGCAAAAAUUAGAGAUCAGUACAUUUCUAUGGUUCAAGUUGUGUUACUGCCACUAUUGUAAAAUAAUUAUUUGAUGGUAAAGAACAAUCAUAGUCUGUGCUUGUGUUGCAACUGAAAUCAUUUUGUGGUAGAAUUACUUCGAAAAACUGGAGAAACUGUCAGCUGCUGAAGAAGUGCAAGGUGAUGGCCCUAAAAAGGAACGCACCAAGCUCAUCACCCCUCAGGUGGCCAAACUGGAGCAUGCGUAUAAGCCAGGUAAGAUGCAGGCCCUUAUAUGAUAAGAGAAAUUUGAGAUGCCACUGAUUUGAUAAAAUAUAGGUGAUACGUUAUCUGUUUUGUCCUCUUCUGGGGGCAGGGAGGAGAGGGCAUUCCUGCUGUUCUAUGCAUGUGGAUGGUUUGGAAAUAAUUUAUAAAGUACUAUUGCCUUUAAUAUAUGCAAAGAUCAGCCUUUAUCUGAGCAUAAAGUGUAUGGCUUGACAGAUGACCUCUUGGGUGCUUUUGAUAUUUCUAAAAUAAAUGAGGAGGAAUGAGAAAGGAUAGAUUGUAAUAAGGAGUUCCUUUAAAGGAUACGUAGGUUUUUUUGUAGUAAGUUGUUACACCAUGAGUAAAGAACAGAAAAGUAAAAAUUUUUGAAUGCUUCCUGCCUGCAUUGCUGAGUUUUUAUUUUGUUGGAAUUUUUAUUUUUAUUUUGUCCUUACAGUGCAGUUUGAGGGUUCUUUGGGGAAACUUACUGUCUCUAGUGUGAAUAACCCUCGAAAAAUGAUCGAUGCUGUUGUGACAUCUCGGAGUGAGGAUGAUGUAAGUGUCUGUAGAAUUAUAUAUUUAAGAAUGUCUUGGUGGUCACCAGUUACUUUGGAGUCAUUGUGGAAUGAGAUCAGGCAUGACGGAGUUGUUUGUAGUCUAACCCAGAGCUUACAACCUGGCACAUUAUGGCCUUCUGGUUUUCAACAGACAUGCUGAAAUAAUAACACCUUCAUUUCUCAUGUAGCUGGUGAAGGCCAGAAGAGGCAGGAAUCUAGACUAGGCAUGUUUGUCUGCAAACAGCAUCUGUUUACUCCAGUUUGCUAUUUUUAAAAAAUUACUAUUUUCUGGAUGGGGAUAUAGCUCAGUUGGUAGAGUGUUUGCAUUCCACGCACAAGGCCCUGGGUUUAAUCUCCAGCUCCACAAAAAAAUAAAUACUAUUUUCUGUGUGUUUUCAAAAUUUGCUAUGAAAUUUUAAUCCUCCGUAAAAUUCUAUAAUUACCAUUUGUCUAUCUAUAAAUUCAGUUUGUGUGUUGGUUGAGUCCAUCAACUCUGAACUUUGUGCUAGUGUCAUUUUAGAUUAUUAACUUUCACAGAAUCAAAAUUUUCUUAAAAUAUUUUCACAGUUGAACUACAGAUGCAUACUUGGAAAAUUGUUUUUAGCAGAGUUAUUAGACACUGAAUAUUCUUGUCUUUUAGGAGACAAAAGAAAAGCAGGUUCGGGACAAGAGAAGAAAAACCCUUGUCAUAAUUGAGAAAGUAAGUUUUAGAAUUUGUUGUUAUAAUUAGUUUCAAAUAAGGAACUGUCAAGUAUGUGUGUACCCAAGAAGCAGAGAAGUGAGCAAUGACUCAGUGUUCUUUGAUUUAAUUAAAAAUAUACUCUUAUUAAGUACUUAUUGUGUGCCACAGCACUACAGAAAGAAUUGUGGUAUACCUUCCCUAUGGCAUCAUGGAAAGAAUCCUGCAGUUAAAAUUAGAAGUACUGGAUUUUUGUUCAGACUUGUUGAAUUAAGAGCUGAGUAUUUCUGGGCAGGUCACCUUUCUAAGCCUGGUAAAAAUGGGAAUAAAAUUUAUAUUGUUUCUCCUAUGGAUUAAUUAAGUCAAUUUAUAGAUAAUUAUUGGGCACUCAUUGGGUGCUAAGGAAAAUAUAUAGUUGGUGUGUAAAGCAUAAAUCCCACAUGGCAAAGCCAUAGAAGAUGGCCUUAGAGUAUAUUUUCUAGGCUAUAAAUUAUAUCUUCCAUUUCUGAGGCUAUGAUAUGAAAGUGAGUUAUUUAAUAUUUCUGUGCUGUCAUCAGUUUCUUUGUCUAUAAAAAUGAAGAUGAUUAUGAUAGUUUUCUUGUGGCGAGUGUUCAGUGAAUGAGCAUGAAGUGUUUAGAACAGAGGCUGGCACCCAGUGGUAAAAUCACUUCUUAUUAAUAUUUUUAUAAAUACAAAGUUCACUGUGGCAGUAAAACAGAAUGUUAUAUAUACAGUGCUAUUGUUGCUGCACUGUAUAUUUGGAAAGUGUAAUGAUAUUUCACUAUCUUUAUCUGCUAGAUUAAAAGUCAGGGAGAAAUAAAAAAUGAUACAUGAAGAAUUAAGUUAUUUCACCCAGUUUUCCUAUAUUUUAAAGACCACCUUUUGUUUUGUUUUAUCUGAAGUUUAUGGUGAUCUUAUCAGGUCAGGUGGUCCGAAACUGUAAAGUUGUUUAUUAGAUACUUGAUGAUUUUAACACAGCAUGCUGUGGCCUGCUUUGUCUCUCCCUUAGACUUAUAGUUUACUUCUUGAUGUGGAGGAUUAUGAAAGGCGUUAUCUCCUAAGUUUAGAAGAAGAGCGGCCUGCCCUGAUGGAAGAGAGAAAGCACAAAAUCUGUAGCAUGUAUGACAACUUGAGGGGUAAAUUGCCCGGGCAAGAGAGGUAAGCUUUGUGCACUUUGAGAAAAACAUGAGACUACCUGGACUUCUGUCUCUCUCAGACUGAGUUUUACACAUUUCUGCCUUUUCAGGACCCUUCCCUGCUAUCUCUGUAAACUCAGAAUCUACCUAUUGUCCAAACUCAAAAGGUGAUUUCAUAUUAGCCAUUUCAUAAUCUUUCACAGCUGGUGGCUGGUCAGCGUGGGGAGUCUUCUUAUCCUGAGUUCAUUUAUUCAACAAAUAUGUAUUCAGUAUCUACUAGGAAUUGUGCUCGGUACUACAGAUAAAUGGUGGGGUGGGCCUAUUAGAUUUUUGGUUUUGAGCUUACGGACUAUAUGUGGUUUAUGAUUACUAGCAUGUAAUCUUCAUUUGUUUGAUUUUCUACUAAGAUGGGGAUUGUAAACAUUUAUAUUUCCUUGGAAUUUCCACAGAAUAUGUGUGUGGUGUAGAAACCAGUAAAUCUUCCAGUGGAGUCUUAAGUUCUGUAACUUUUAUUGUUUUUCUGUGUCAUCUCUUUUCCAUUUAUUAUCUGGAACAGAAUCCUGCUGUUGGUAAAUGUUCAAUAAAUCCCAAAUACUUAACAUGAUGAAUGUAAGAGGACUACAUUGGCUAGUAAUUCUCUUUCCCUUUGUACAGUCAGUAGAGUUGUGGAUUCUUCUAAGCCAGGAGAUACACAAACAGAACAUAAGGACAAGCACCUUGGGUUGGGGUUGUGGCUCAGUGGUAGAACACUUGCCUAGCAUGUGUGAGACACUGGGUUCGAUUCCUAGCACCACAUAUAAAUAAAUCAAUAAAUAAAACAAAUGUCCAUCAAUAACUAAAAAUAUAUACAUUAAAAUUAUUUUUAAAAAACAAGCACUUUCUUUUCAACACACCUUUUCUGGUGUUUUUAGGGCUGACAAGAAACUGGUUGAAUAGUUGUGGUUUGUCCAUAAAUUUCAUGUUACAUGGCAUUAAAAUGUAUGUGGUUGAUGUAUAUUUACCUGGAAAAGUGUCUGCAAACUGUUAACACUUGUAAAAUUAACUCAGAUUAUGUUUUUAUUUUUUAUGUAUACAUUUUCACGUGUUGCUCUAUUAGCCAUGUGAUAUUUGUGUCGAUACUUAAGGGUUAAUGUAAUAAUGCUUGUAUAGUUUGACCAAGUUUUUCUAAAAUGUAAUUAGUGAAAUUGAAAUUUUGCUUUUUAUUAUUUUAUUAAAGUUGGAGAAGUAAUUCUCACUAUUUUGUAGUACAGGUCAUUGUAGAGUGAAAAUGAAUGCAGCAUAUUAAUUUUAAAAAGACCUAAGAAGAGAAAACAUGAGGAUUUCCUGUUUUGCUCUUGUUAAUGAAAAUUGUCAUUUUUCUUCCCUUGUAGGCCAAGUGAUGACCACUUUGUACAGAUCAUGUGUAUUCGAAAAGGGAAGAGAAUGGUUGCCCGUAUUCUCCCAUUCCUCUCCACAGAGCAAGCAGCUGACAUUCUCAUGACAACUGCCAGGAACCUCCCUUUUCUUAUCAAGAAGGAUGCACAAGAUGAGGUGAUCCACCAUGUGGGACAUCUUUCCUUGCAGUUUUUUUCAUAGUUGAUAAGAUUUCUGGAAUCUAAUUUCUUUGUCUCUUCUCCUUUUUGUGUUGUUUUGUCUAAACUUUGGCAUUAGGAUUUGAUUAUUUAAAACAACCUUAAGUAAUUCAGGUGUAUUUUUUUGAAUCCCAUAGUUAGUGGAACAGACCAUCUCUGAAAACAUGAGGAAAUCAGUAGUUCCUUCUUAAUUCACAACACAGUUGUAAAGACAUGGUGUAUGUCAGAACUAAUUGGGAAGCAAAUAAGUUGGCUCUGUACCCCAAAUGCUGAAUCAGAAUUUAUAGAGUAUGGCUGGGUACAGUGUUGGAUGUCUGUAAUGUUAGCAACUCAGGAGGCUGAGGUAGGAAGAUUGCAAGUUUGAAGCUAGCCUCAGCGACUUAGCAAGACCCUUUGUCAAAAUAAAAAGGACUGGGGAUGUGGUCUAGUGGUAAGGUGCCCCUGGAUUCAAUCACCAGUGCCACCGGGAAAAAGAAUUUAUAGAAGAUAGAUCAGGACUUCUGUAUCUAAGAGAUUAGCAAAAUUUAGUAUGGUGUAGGAGGUCAAAACAAGAAAUUGAGAAAGGUAGGACAAAGGACUGGUAUUAAUGAGUAUGAGAUUCAGAAUAAUAAAAGGUAUUCGGGUGAGCCUGUCACAGUCAGCCACAAGCUGAGUGAGACCUGUCUGGGUAAUUAGUCCACAGAAAACAAAUGGUGACAGGAUACACUAGAAAUGGUAUGCUUUGACAAUUGGAAAUUGUUCCUUUUGUAGACCCUUAAAAUUUUAGCAUCUAUAGAAGUGAAUGAGCAGUUUAGGUCUAAUCAUUAAGAAAGUGAAGUGGGUAAGAAAGUUUAUUUUUAAAAGAUUUUAAGAAUGAAAAAUGGUUGGAAGAAAAUUUAAAGAUUUGAGGUUUAUCCUAAUAAGUUGACUAAACUAAAAAAAGUUACUGCUAUUUCAGACCAUGUACACUGUAAGCAGGCGCUCUUGCCAUAAUUACAGAGCAAGUUUGAGAGAGCCUUACUCAGUUGGCAGAUACAUAUUAGACACUAUUUUAUUUCUUAGAAAUAACAGCACCCAGUCCUAGGAGCUAGAAAUACAAAAAUGCCUGUCCUCAUGGAGCUUACCUCCUAGUGAGGAAGACUUGAUUAAAUAUUCAGGCUGCGUUUUUACGUGUGUGUGUUGAAAAGCAGUAGACCACAUCUCUCAAAACUAUUUUCAUGAAGGUACAGUUAGUUUCAGGUAUGGGGCCUGAAAAUUUAAGGCAAUCCUAAAAUAUUGUGUGCCUGAAUGCAAAGAAGUUAAUAGAUUACUAGGGUCCUGUGGAUGCACAGAUUAACUUUGAAAGGGCUCUUGUUGGCUAAAAAUGGGAUCAUUUAUAUCAGAAAGAAAAAUUAACAGUGGACUGAAUGAAUGUAGUAAAUGUAUUUCAUUUAAUGAAUUCAUAAUGACACCAAAUAAACCAGUCCUCUUUGGAAACUGCCACACCAUCAGUUCAUCCUAAAAAUAGAUAAAUAAAGGAAAGACUCAAGCAUUUAUCCUGCUUUUUUAUUAUAACCAAAUGUCAUGGUUACCAGAGUUGGUAAUAUAAAAUUCUUUAUAGAAGAACUUCAGAAAAUAAUCAUUUUGUAAGCCUGGACUUGUUUGGAGCAUACUGACAGCUGAACCUGGCGAUGCACUGCAAACACCACCAAGAAUGGGACACUAAGCACUGUGCUUCUUGACAUAAUGCCUGCAGUCUUCCUGCCUCCCUCUUCUGCCCCACCUCCCACCAUUAAACCAGAAUCUAAUCAAACUUGUAAUCACCAUCAGUUAAUGGGGACAUACUGGAUGGCAGAACCAAUUAAGUGGCAUCACAGGGAUGCAGGCGCCAGAUUCAAACAAUGAGACAAAUUACAUACUGAGCCACAACCCCAGCCCCACACAUGUUUUUUGUUUCAAUAAAUAGCAUGAGAAGAGGACAUACAGACUGUGGCAAAGGACCUGUUAUUUUUUUAAACCCCAUCAGUAAAAUACAAUAUAUGGAUCUUAUUUGAAUCGUAAUUAAAAUAAAUCAGCUGCUAAAAGAUACUGUUGACACAAAUGGAAAAAUAGGAAUUUUGAGUUGCUAUUAACUGAUACUAAAAUUAUUUUUAAUUUUGUUUGAUAUAAUGAGAUUUUGUUAGAGAAAUAAGUAUUUUUAGAAGAAAUGAUACCAUAUGGAAGGAACAGAUCUAAUAAAAUCUGUUAUUUUAUUACUGAUAAUACAGUAAUUUGGCUAUUGAAGUUGGGUAGUGGAUACAUGAACAAUUACUGUUAUUUGUACUUUCAUGUAUGUAUUUAAAUAUCUAUGAUUAAAAAGCUUUGUUUGUUUAGAGUAUUAAAUGUCAAAAAGUGACCCAGUCUCUGUCCUUAGGUGCCAUUUAAAAUAAUACAUCACCGUGGUUUUUUUUGUUUUGUUUUUUUAAUGUUUUUAUUUUUUUUUUUUAGUUACAAGUGGACAGAUGUCUUUAUUUUACUUUAUGUGGUGCUGAGGAUCGAACCCAGUGCCUCACGUGUGCUAGGCGAGCACUUUUACAACGGUCUUGCUUAAGUUGCUGAGGCUGGCCUCGAACUUAAGAUCCUCAGUCAGGAUGAUAGGCAUGUGCCACCACAUUCAGCUCUUGAUUUCCUUUUUUGUUGUAAAACCAGCUGUAUUUUAACUUAACUAUUUGUUCACUUCUUCAUUGAGCUUUUAUAAAUAAGAUAAAAUUAAGUCUGAAGGUGCUAGUAAUUGUGUAGCAGUCUAAACUUUAGAGUGCUUCUUACAGUAUAUCAAAAUUGCCAGUCUUCCCCACUAUGCUUCAGAUGUCUAAGGGUCCAUGUGUGACCUGUUUACCAUCUUUUUGGUGGGGAGGUGGGGUGGGCAUUGUGUCUGGCACAUUGUAGGCUUUUAGACGUUUGUGAAAUGAGCUCAACAUUCAUACUAAAAUAAUAGUAUGGUGUAUUAAUAUGAAUUUAGUAUUUGAAAAGUGAUUUUAGCCCCCUUGGUACUACAAGUCAUGGCAUUUCCAGUGAAGAUUGAAUUGAAAACAUUCUCAAUAGAUACCUUAGAAUCCAUUGUUGAGACUUCAGUCAUAUCCACUGGGCUUGCCACCUCUUUUUUCUUAAAUCUUGCCAUGAGUGGUUGAGUAUACUGCUGAGCAUCUUUCUGUCCGUGGCAACUGAUGGCCAGUAAUUAAAGAACAGUUGACAAGAUGUAAUACUUUUGUUUAUUUUUUUUGUAGGUGCUGCCAUGUUUAUUGAGUCCCUUCUCUCUCCUCCUUUAUCAUCUUCCUUCAGUGACUGUCACCAGCCUUCUGCAACAGCUAAUGAACCUACCUCAAAGUGCAGCUGCACCAGCACCCUCCAACCCUCACCUUGCAGCUGUGCUCCAGAACAAGGUGGUCUUGACUUUUGUGUCCCUAGAUUUUGUGAAACAUCUAAAUUUGAGUUACAGAUUUAAAAGCAGUGGCUACCAUGCUGUGAUAACUUGUUCAAAAGGGAUUCUUUCCUUUAGUCAGAAGUUGCGUUAAUCCUACUACCAAAAGCUAGAAAGAAUAGUGUUGUUAGUUUUAAGCUAGAGAUAAACAGUGUUGUUAUUUUUUGCUGCUUUUUUUUGUUUUCUUUUGUUGAAACACAGUAGGAUUUUAUGUAUCUCCUGAAGAAACAAAUCUGGUGUAGUCGGCUUACAGUGGACUCAAGAGAUCCAGGCUCCAUUUUUUUUUUUUUUUCCUGUCAUCUUUAGUAGCAAGACUGUGAACUUUUGUUAGAGGAAACAAUACAGAAGGAACAUGAUCCCUCAUGAUCUAAGAUGGUGUGGAGUUUACAUUAGGAAGGAGGGUGGUUAUGGAAGAUGUGGAUUAAUGUUCUGCGCUCUUCAUUGGGACCUUUUCCAGGACUUCAAACCAACUUCUACUUAAUAUCAAUGGCCAGGAUUUAGAUAAACCUAACUGCAAAAAAGUCUGAGAAAUAGCUUUUAGUGCACAUCAUUGGUGCCACAAGUAAAGUCAGAGUUCCUAAUAAUGAGAAGGAAGGUCUAUCGUUAAGUUACAGUUGGUGGUCUGUGUUAUAUGAUUAUAAGUAGAAUUUCCCAUUUUAUUUAUGUCAGAUUAAAGAUCCAGCAACUCCUAGUGGAAGCAUAAAAGAAAGGAACAAAUGUGAGUUUUUAAACAGACAAGGUUUUAGUUCUUUCCUGCCAUAUUAGCCUUAGAAUUCUGGACAGAUUUUUCUCACUUUCCUAGGGCAGCUUCCUCCUGAUCUGUAAAGUAGAAGUGAUGAUGUAGACUUCACAGAGUUGGCCUUGUACUUCAUUGAGAUGAUGGCUUUGAGUGCUUCAUGUAGUGACCCAUACAUAACAGGCACUCAUUCAGGCACUCUGUGCAGUAGAGGUGAAAAAUAGUCUCAAGGCCUCUUUCUGCCUUCCGCUUACAAUCCUACCAAAGCAUGACUCUGAAUGGCAGACAUCAGCAGGAGAAGUAACCGCCUCAGGGAUGUAGAUGGGCUUCUGAAGUAAACAGGGAUAUGAUUUGGUCUCUUGGUUUUAAUUUUGGUAAAGGCAGUAGGAAACUGAGACCAGAUAAGAUUAUAUAGCCCAGUGUCCGCCCCCAUAACAUGAAGGGAAAUUUUGUGGAAAGGCAAGAUUAUCCUUCCCUUUAUGUUUCAUUAUAGAUCAUGUGAUUCUUACAUUUAACCUGUUUCUUGUCCGCAUUUGUAUUUUCAUUUUAUGCCCCUUUAACCUACGUUUCCUUCUUUUACCGCCACUAAAUAAGACAUUUUUUUAUAUUUCAGUUUCUAAACCUUAUGUUGCUGGAUUUUAAUUUUAAACAAGAUGAAUGCAUUUGUUUAUCCCUUCUUUAUUUUUUUUUAUUUUUUUUAAGAGAGAGAUUUUUUUAAUAUUUAUUUUUUAGUUUUUGGUGGACACAACAUGUUUGUUUUUAUGUGGUACUGAGGAUCGAACCCAGUGCCCCGUGCAUGCUUUUUCAUUUUCCAUGAACUUUGACUUUUCUUUUUAAUCCAUUUCAGUUCUUGUAAAUAGGAAAAAAGCCAAACCCCAUGUUAAACAUGAUGGGGGGGCGGGGAUCAUCCUUUCACCCCAGGGUGAGGCACAGAUAAGAAUGUUGGACACCAUGAUGUUCUGUUUCCAAAGGCUGUGCUUGGUCGUGGCUGUGCCAAAAGCAAAACCGGGAGAAAGGACGUAGGCUUCUGGCUCAGGGUUGUCCAUUUUCUGCCUGGUUUCACAGAGAAGCACAGCAGUGAGGUCAUUGUGGCUUAGUGCUAUUCCCAUUUAAUGCUAGGAUCCCAUCAGUUGUCGUAGAGGAGGUUUGGAUGCUUUGUUUGACACCCUGUCUUCUCUCAUAGUUUGGCCUGUCACUGCUCCUUGUUCUCCUGAGCCGUGGGGAAGACUUACAGAGUUCAGACCCUGCUACAGAAUCAACGCAAAAUAACCAAUGGUCAGUACGGACUAUUUCUCUAUUUUAAGUUUUUUGAGGUGAUCUUUCUUUUUUUCCCUCAUCUUGUUGUUUGGUUUUCCCUAUCAGGACGGAGGUGAUGUUCAUGGCAACCCGAGAACUUCUGCGGAUUCCCCAAGCAGCCCUGGCCAAACCAAUCUCUAUACCCACAAACCUAGUGUCCCUUUUUUCUCGCUAUGUCGACCGGCAGAAAUUGAACUUGCUGGAGACAAAACUGCAGUAAGUUUUAAAAAGGAUAGUUGCACAUGUCAACAAAGUUGGCAUUUUAGAAGUUAUGAUAGAGGGGAGGAUAAAACUGAAUUUGGUGGAAAAGAGUAAAGACUUUAAAUAAAUAUUCGCGUAUCUACUGAUAUAAAAUGCUAUACUGGGUGCAACAGUACCCUCAUUGAAGUUGACUAAGAGUAAAACAAUGUCUUGGGUGUUUUGUUAUUGAGAAUCUUUACAAGGUUGAAAUUUUAAUACAAAAGUUUACUUUCUAUUUAAACUUAUUUAUAUAAACAAGUUUUCUUUCUCUUUUUUUAUACCCUUAGGCUAGUUCAGGGGAUACGAUAAAAGAUCUCCAAAUGUGUCCUGUACCUCCUUUGGGCUGCCACCUGCACUGCUGCCAUCACCAAUGGAGUGUUUUUAAUGAGGGAGGGAAGGUAGCUUAUUCCCCAAAGCAAAGUCUUGUGGGAUUGAUUCCUGUUUACAGGGGUUGUCUCUAAAUGCCAGGUAUUUUCCCCAUUGCUCUGUGAAAUUUGGCUGGGUGAUACUUAUGCUGGUUUCUUCUUUACUUUCUGUGUUACAAUUCUGCAUGUCCUACUUUUACUCAAUUCUUCUCAAUUUUGCAUUUUCUUUGCCCUAGCGACAAAAAAUUAUAUCUCCCUUGAUCCCACUACCACUACUCCAGUUCAAAGUAGAUUGUAGCCUGCCAAAAGAUUCUUCCCCUCAUCCUAUUGAAGUCUUUUUUCAUUAUCCCAUAUUAAUGUGACUGUAGGAGAGCCAACUAAAUAGAAAUCAAGUUCUAGAAACACACAUACCCCAUACAUACAUUUAUAUGAUCUCCAGAGGGUCCUUAAAGAAUGAAUUUUAGAUUGAAAAAUAUUUAGUUGACACAUACCAUCUCUAAACAAACCAACUGAUAUAUUUUUAAUCUGUUUCUAUUUCGUCUUGUAAUUAAUUUGGUGGAAAUACUUAUUUGUUUUAAUAUAAAUACAGGGUAUAUGGCACAUUUAAUAAGAUCAUAUUUCUUAAUUGGCUGGUGCCCAGCUCUAGGUUGAGAAGUGAUUUUCCUCUUCCCCACCUGUAUUUUCUUUGUUUUGUCCACCCUAAUGGAAACAGCACACGGUUAAGCCUUUUUCCAGCUACAACCACAGUGUGCUUGAGCCUGUCCCCUCAAGUGCAUUCAGGAGCACCCAAGGUGAUCCUCACUUACAGCCUGCUUGAGCAGUGUAGCUUUUUGCACACUCUGUCUUCCUGAGGUGACUUCAGUAAGCCAUGCUUGUCCAUCUCUUUUCCUCAUUUUCAUCUGGUGUCAUGGGUAGAAACCUUCAAAUGUAACCACAGAAGCUAAGCUUGGCCUGCUCUGCUCUUCACUAUCCUCCAACAUGGGCAGAACUGCCGCCCUGGCUCGUCCAUCUCACCUGAGCCUCGUUCCCAGACAGCCAGGGACCUGGGUUUAAAUCUUAGCAGGUACAGCCUGCCAUGAUCUUUUGUCACUUACCCUUCCUUUCAGCAAUCAACCAGGAUAAGGGUUUUGGUCCCUAGAGAUUUCAGUUCUGAAGAAGAUUAAAUCUGAAUCAAUUUUACAUGCCCUUCCAGUCUACUUUAUGCCAUUCUCACCUUUUCGAAUGUAGUGGGGGACUGGCUGUGACAUUUAAAGAGAAUAAACGUUUUGCACAUACAUGUAUUGUACAACAGUAAAAUCCUGUUAUAACCAGCUGUCCUUGUUCUUCAUCUCCGUUUCUUCCCAUUCUGUAACCCAGGCUUCACCAGCUGUUCCCCAGUGACAUUACCUAGCUUCCCUCCACCAUCACCUACUGACUAUUUCCACUAUGCGCCUUUCCUACCUUCCCUUCACAACUGAUCAAGUGAAUACUUGAUUAUUAUUUCUUCCUUACUGUGCUUUAUUUUUGUUUGGUUCUAAUUAAUGAAAAUAAAAGUUUCUAAAUUUACAUUUUUAUAGGGUAUUGUAAAUAAAAACAAAUUGUAUACUUCAAAAAACUGUGUGCCGA